rnacentral:lncRNA from 1 species
CUAUAACGAAUAACAUUGAUAUUUAUUCGAACAAAUCAUAACAUUAAAUUUCUAAUAAAUUGCUAACAAAAUUUAUAACAUCAAAACUUAAUUCCUCACAAUUAUCUGCAAUGGUAAUCCAUAAAAUACCUAAAUUGCUGCAUUCGUCCAAACAAUAUCACCCAAAAAAUUAGAACGAAUAAAUCCUUAAGAAGUACGAUACAUCAUCACGGAAGUCACCCAAGCAAAAUUAAAUUUACUUUAAAUUUGGAUCCAUGGACAUUUCUUCAUAAGUCUUUGAAGCUUUGCUCAGAACGUCGUCCUUCAGUUCGUUUCCGGAGCACUAGCUACGGCAUCUGCACCUCUCUCCUACAAGUUUUGAACAAGUAAUGUCUUAUAUCUGAACAAACAUAAAUUCUUUCCGAACAAAGAUUAUUAUUUACUGAAUAAAUAGUAUUCGAAAUUUAUACCCUUUUCGAUCUACAAACUAGUUUCCAUGUCUAUCGCUAACUCACCAACAAAAAAGCACUAUUUUGGGACCCUAGAACUUAAUCCAAUUCAGCAUAACAUAAAAACAACAAAAAGUCCAAUGAUUUUUCAAUCAAGAAGCGGUCACCGUUUAACAUGAGUAAACCUACAACCAAAAGCUUGAAAGCAAAUGAAUCAAUAAUAGAAUAUCAGAAGAAGGAUAGAUGCUUACCAUUUGUUGAAAAGCCAAGUCAAAGGGUCUUUUCGGAGCAGAAUUUGACAAAAUUUUGAUUGGUUUCUUGGAAAAGCCCAUAAUUCUAUUAUUUGGGGAAGUACCUAUGUUUCUUGUUAUUUUUUCCCUCAGCAAUCUCUCUCAUUGUAGAAUUAAAGCAAAAAUAAGAAAUUGAAGCAAUAACUUCGAAUUCCAGAAUCAAUUCUCAGUUCUAAUAAAAGUGCCCAUUGUUCGCUUCUAAGCGCAUCAAUCACCCAAAAACAUCAAAAUAAGACAAAAAAAAAAACCCCAAAAUCUUACCAAAUUCACAUAAACCCCUAAUAGAUUCCAAAUCCAGAGGCGAAGAGAAUAGAACCAAAAAAAAUGCUAAAAAUGGCGCACCAACAACAC